rnacentral:rRNA from 1 species
GAUUAACGCUGGCGGCGUGCAUAACACAUGCAAGUGAAGUGAAGUGGCGGACGGGUGAGUAACGCGUAGUAACCUGCCUUAGAGAAGGGGAUAGCCUUUGGAAACGAAGAAUAAUACCCUAUACUCUAAGAUGGACUUGCGUCUGAUUAGUUAGUUGGUGGGGUAAAGGCCUACCAAGGCGACGAUCCGUAACUGGUCGGAGAGGAGGAUCAGGCACACUGGAUAGUAGACACGGGCCAGACUCCUACGUGAGGCAGCAGUGGGGAAUAUUGGACAAUGGGCGAAAGCCUGAUCCAGCCAUGCCGCGUGUGUGAAGAAGGUCUUCGGAUUGUAAAGCACUUGAAGUUGGGAGGCGUUACCAACAGAAUAAGCACCGGCUAACUUCGUGCCAGCAGCCGCGGUAAUUC